ACUGGAGGACCAAGAAGGCUGAGUCUGAUGAAGCAAGACUUCGCUGAUACACUCCUCCUAGACAAAGGGGUGGAGAAAGCAGCCCUUAUUGAAGAAAACCAAAGGGUUGACUGAAAUACCCAACAUUU